AACGCACCUUGCGCUCCUUGGCUAUUCCGAGGAGCAUGCCUGUUUGAGUGUCAUUAUAUUCUCAACUCCACCAGCUUUUGUGGCUGGCUCUUGGAGAUUGGAUGUGGAGGCUUUGCUGGCCCUUGGUCAGCUCCUCUGAAAUACAUUAGCGGAACCGUUUGCGAUCCGUCACAGGUGUGAUAAUUAUCUACGCCAGUGGGUUGCUCUCUGUCUGUUCAGCUCAUAAUUGUCCUGGAACAUGGACAAACUAUAAUGAACGUUUGACCUCAAAUCAGGUAGGACUACCCGCUGAACUUAA
rnacentral:misc_RNA from 1 species